AAAUAAAGCGAUACAAAAUUGCAUUCAGUUUCGGCCUGAAUUUAGAAAUAAUUCUAUUUU
rnacentral:tRNA from 1 species